AGGAACUCAAUAAAUAAUUAGUGAGACACUGUGACCAAAGAUUGAUGUUCUUCUUGGGAUGCCAUGGUCAGUAGUGCUAUGCUUUCCUGAGGAGAUAUAAAA
rnacentral:snoRNA from 1 species